AGUUACACUCCCAAACCCCUGUGAACAUACCACUUGUUGCCUCGGCGGAUCAGCCCGCUCCCGGUAAAACGGGACGGCCCGCCAGAGGACCCCUAAACUCUGUUUCUAUAUGUAACUUCUGAGUAAAACCAUAAAUAAAUCAAAACUUUCAACAACGGAUCUCUUGGUUCUGGCAUCGAUGAAGAACGCAGCAAAAUGCGAUAAGUAAUGUGAAUUGCAGAAUUCAGUGAAUCAUCGAAUCUUUGAACGCACAUUGCGCCCGCCAGUAUUCUGGCGGGCAUGCCUGUUCGAGCGUCAUUUCAACCCUCAAGCACAGCUUGGUGUUGGGACUCGCGUUAAUUCGCGUUCCUCAAAUUGAUUGGCGGUCACGUCGAGCUUCCAUAGCGUAGUAGUAAAACCCUCGUUACUGGUAAUCGUCGCGGCCACGCCGUUAAACCCCAACUUCUGAAUGUUGACCUCGGAUCAGGUAGGAAUACCCGCUGAACUUAAGCAUAUCAAUAAGCGGAGGAAA
rnacentral:rRNA from 1 species